AUGAGGCCUCUGCGCGCCGUCGCUCUGCUCCUCGUCGCGGCGGCAGCAGCCGCGGCCGCCGCGACGCCGUGGGCGGGGAGCGGCCAGGAGUCCGGCUCCAUCAGCAAAGACGACUUCCCUGGGGACUUCAGCUUCGGGGCUAGCACAUCAGCUUAUCAGUGGGAAGGCGCGGCGGCGGAGGACGGCCGGACCCCCAGCGUGUGGGACACCUUCGCUCACGCUCACGCCCACGCCCACGCCGGUGAUGACUCUGUAAAUGGUGAUGUGGCAGCUGACGGCUACCAUAAGUACAAGGAGGAUAUCAAAUUAAUGAAGGAGACCGGACUGGAUUCUUAUAGAUUCUCUAUCUCUUGGUCAAGGCUUAUUCCUAAAGGAAGAGGAGAAAUCAAUCCAAAAGGAGUAGGAUACUACAAUAAUCUCAUCAAUGAACUACUUGAUCAUGGAAUUCAACCACAUGCAACGAUUUUCCAGUAUGAUCUUCCUCAAAUCCUUGAAGAUGAAUAUGGUGGAUGGUUGAGUCCCCAAAUAAUUGGUGAUUUCACAGCAUACGCAGAUGUGUGCUUUAGGGAAUUUGGGGAUAGAGUUACCAAUUGGACUACUCUAAAUGAACCUAACGCUUUAGUUUCGGUUGGCUAUGAUGCUGGUAUUGGGCCACCGGGGAGAUGUUCUAAACCAUUUGGAUUUGCUGACUGUUCCUGUGGGGACUCUGUAAACGAGCCAUACGUUGUAGCUCAUAAUUGCUUAUUGGCUCAUACCUCAGCUGUGUCACUAUACAGAAGAAAGUAUCAGACAAAGCAACACGGACUUAUUGGCAUGAAUAUAUGUAUAAAUAACAUAGUACCUUAUACAAAUUCAACGGAAGAUAUAGCUGCAGCGAAAAGAGCACAAGCCUUCUACACAGGCUGGUUCUUGGAUCCUCUCUAUUAUGGAGACUACCCACUUGUGAUGAAGGAGAAUACUGGCUCCAAGUUGCCAAAAUUUUCUCAAAGCCAGUCUAAACAACUAAUCAAUUCUAUGGACUUUCUUGGCAUCAAUUACUACACAUUUUUGUACGUGAAGGAUGACCCGCAUCAUGCUCCUAGCAACAAAAGGAAUUUCAGGGCUGAUAUGGCUGCUAAAUCAAUAUUUUCAAGCAAUUCUACCAGUGGAUUCUAUGUGCCAGGUUAUGGGAUACAGCAAGUGCUUGAACAUUUGAAGCAAUUUUAUGGUAAUCCUCCAAUCUAUAUCCAUGAGAAUGGAUAUCCAAUGCAUCAAGAUGUAGUAUUUGAUGAUGGCCCUAGGGUGGAAUUCUUGAGUGAACAUCUUAAGAACCUUCUCACUGCUGUCAGGAAUGGUUCGAAUACUAGGGGCUACUUUGCCUGGUCGCUGAUGGAUUUAUAUGAACUACUUAGUGUCGGGGACACGUAUGGACUCUAUUACGUGGAUUUUGCUGAUGAUGAUCUCAAGAGGUAUCCAAGGAGCUCUGCGAUUUGGUACAAGGAUUUUCUCAAGGGGAGGCACACGGAGACGGGGAGAUUCUCCGAUCACUAG
rnacentral:rRNA from 1 species